rnacentral:rRNA from 2 species
ACUCCUACGGGAGGCAGCAGUAGGGAAUAUUCCACAAUGAGCGAAAGCUUGAUGGAGCGACACAGCGUGCACGAUGAAGGCCCUCGGGUUGUAAAGUGCUGUUGCAAGGGAAGAACACUUAGUUGAGGAAAUGCAACUAAGCUGACGGUACCUUGUUAGAAAGCGAUGGCUAACUAUGUGCCAGCAGCCGCGGUAAUACAUAGGUCGCAAGCGUUAUCCGGAAUUAUUGGGCGUAAAGCGUUCGUAGGCUGUUUAUUAAGUCUGGAGUCAAAUCCCAGGGCUCAACCCUGGCUCGCUUUGGAUACUGGUAAACUAGAGUUGGAUAGAGGUAAGCGGAAUUCCAUGUGAAGCGGUGAAAUGCGUAGAUAUAUGGAAGAACACCAAAGGCGAAGGCAGCUUACUGGGUCUAUACUGACGCUGAGGGACGAAAGCGUGGGGAGCAAACAGGAUUAGAUACCCUGGUAGUCCACGCCGUAAACGAUGAUCAUUAGUCGGUGGGAGCCACUGACGCAGCUAACGCAUUAAAUGAUCCGCCUGAGUAGUAUGCUCGCAAGAGUGAAACUUAAAGGAAUUGACGGGGACCCGCACAAGCGGUGGAGCAUGUGGUUUAAUUUGAAGAUACGCGGAGAACCUUACCCACUCUUGACAUCCUUUGCAAAGCUAUAGAGAUAUAGUGGAGGUUAACAGAGUGACAGAUGGUGCA